GAUGAACGCUGGCGGCGUGCCUAAUACAUGCAAGUCGAGCGAAUGGAUUAAGAGCUUGCUCUUAUGAAGUUAGCGGCGGACGGGUGAGUAACACGUGGGUAACCUGCCCAUAAGACUGGGAUAACUCCGGGAAACCGGGGGCUAAUACCGGAUAACAUUUUGAACCGCAUGGUUCGAAAUUGAAAGGCGGCUUCGGCUGUCACUUAUGGAUGGACCCGCGUCGCAUUAGCUAGUUGGUGAGGUAACGGCUCACCAAGGCAACGAUGCGUAGCCGACCUGAGAGGGUGAUCGGCCACACUGGGACUGAGACCCGGCCCAGACUCCUACGGGAGGCAGCAGUAGGGAAUCGUCCGCAAUGGACGAAAGUCUGACGGAGCAACGCCGCGUGAGUGAUGAAGGCUUUCGGGUCGUAAAACUCUGUUGUUAGGGAAGAACAAGUGCUAGUUGAAUAAGCUGGCACCUUGACGGUACCUAACCAGAAAGCCACGGCUAACUACGUGCCAGCCGCCGCAGUAA
rnacentral:rRNA from 1 species